rnacentral:rRNA from 1 species
GACGAACGCUGGCGGCGUGCUUAACACAUGCAAGUCGAACGGAAAGGCCCUGCUUUUGUGGGGUGCUCGAGUGGCGAACGGGUGAGUAACACGUGAGUAACCUGCCCUUGACUUUGGGAUAACUUCAGGAAACUGGGGCUAAUACCGGCUAGGAGCUCCUGCUGCAUGGUGGGGGUUGGAAAGUUUCGGCGGUUGGGGAUGGACUCGCGGCUUAUCAGCUUGUUGGUGGGGUAGUGGCUUACCAAGGCUUUGACGGGUAGCCGGCCUGAGAGGGUGACCGGCCAAAUUGGGACUGAGAUACCGCCCAGACUCCUACGGGAGGCAGCAGUGGGGAAUAUUGCACAAUGGGCGGAAGCCUGAUGCAGCAACGCCGCGUGCGGGAUGACGGCCUUCGGGUUGUAAACCGCUUUCGCCUGUGACGAAGCGUGAGUGACGGUAAUGGGUAAAGAAGCACCGGCUAACUACGUG